rnacentral:lncRNA from 1 species
AACAGAAAGCCCAAAACAGCAGCAGCAGCAGCAGCAGCAGCAGCAGCAGCAGCAGCAGCAGCAACAACAGCAAAAACAACAGAAUCACCCAGGACAUGGAUCUUCCGUUAAUAUGCUUAUUAUUUUACAGUUAUAGUACUUUUAGGGUAUGCUAGUCAAAAGUUGUAAAUUCACUCAGACUUUUUACUUAAAUUAAAUUUGAAGACAUUUUGUUCUCUAUUAUGCUUUUGGAUCUUUACAGUCACAUACAAUUUCUAUGCACACACAUGUAUAUUUAUAUACUUACAUACCUAUAUCUGUAUUCUGAAUUGUUUUGCAUGGGUGCAUGGUAUCUUGGCAGGAUUAAAUAGCUGCAUAUUGAAGGAUUUUCCAAAUGGGCCUGUUUGUUUGACAAAACAGUUCUCAAGAGUGAUUGGUCAAGUAGUUUGCUGGCAGGGUUUCACUUCUUGUCCUUGCAGAGACUUCUGAUAUCUCAGUCUGCUUCACUAUAAACUUCUCUCCAGGCAGUAGGGGAAGCAGCACCUCUCUAUCUCUGAGGAGUCUUGGAAUAAAGUGACCUGCUGGUCACACCCAUUGUUGCUGACACCAACUGUCAUUUUGGUAGCAGCAUUUCUGUCUUGUACAAUUCAGUUCAUAAAUGCUUGAAAAAAUAUAAGCAUUUAAAGACCUCAAAAUAUUUUUUAUAAGUUAUACUUUACAUGAUUUUUAAAAAACACAUUUUCUGCUCCUUCACACUGCCUCCUCAACGCCAUCUCUCCAGUGGCAGUCAGCAGAUAGGUGGAAUGACACCUUGUUGGCAGAAUAAUUCUGUCACAGGACAGGGAGGUCUGCAGCACAAGCUCUCUUUACUGUACCUUCAUGUUUUGUAAAAACAGAAUAAAAUUAUCAUCCCGCUAAGGCAAUGGUUAGCUCAGCAGGAACCCAAAUAUGAGGACUUAAAAGGAGGGUAUGGGAUUUUACCCCUGGGUCAGGUGACCAAUUCCUGUCAUUCCCAUGCUUGUAGCUCUUCCAUGUAACCAAUUUCUAAACAUGUCAUACAGAUUUGAUACAUGGUUCAAGCUAACAUUUUCAACCCCAUCUGAGAAAGUGGGGACCCUUGUUAUGAAUAAUGCUGUAUAGGGCGGCAGCCUGGAACAGUCACCGUUCAUGUUGCCUUCAGUUCUAAAGCAGUGUUCAAUUCUCUGUCACUUUAGCUAAAAUGUUACUUUGGAAGGCCAAGGUCUUUGGGAAACUGUCUUAUGAUGUAAAUGAAAACAGAGAAGGGUUUUAAAGUUGUGCUGCUCUCUUUCAUUUCACUUGUAAUGUUUCUACCCUCUAGAUAUCCAGCUUGACCAGAAUUCUGUCUGUCUGUCUAUCUAUAAAACA